AGGAAUCGCCGAACUGCCGUCCUGAUACGGCGGGAUACGGGGAUACGGCGGGAUACGGCGGGAUACGCGAAUUUUGGAGUAUCCCCGAAAUUCGAAUUAAAAAAAAGAAAAAACAACUGGGAUACGCCGGGAUACGCGGGGACACGUUAGGGAUACGGCCUGGCCCAAAAACACACCCCCGGCCCAGCCACGGCCCAAUAUGUAACCCUAUUUUGCAGGGUCUCCAUACGAGCUGCUCCCUGCCUCCCAGCUCGAACAGAAGGAGCCGCCACCUUCUGGAUCGAAGUUCCCACCACCUGGACUCGCCGCCGCCGGCGCCGGCGACUCCUCCAUCCAGCACCAGCACCAGCAGUCUCUCUCUCUCCUCGCCUCCUCAGCUCCUCGCAGCUGUAGCCUGUAGCAACUAGCAAGUGGCAUGGCAUCUGGGAGCGCCACAGCUGGUAGCCAAUUUGUGUUUGAUGUGUUUUGCAAGAUGCAACUUGCAAUGAGAUGGGGGGAUGAGGAUCGAUCAAGCACUUGCUAAAAGAGACACCAAAUGGGGCAGUACUCUAGUCUAUUCUUUAUUUUGAUCUAUUUCUCUUUAAUUUUCUGUCUUAACUCUAUAUUACAUGGCAUAU